rnacentral:misc_RNA from 1 species
AAAAAAUGGUAGUGAUUUCGAAUAUUAUUUUUGUCCACCAAAACUUUGAAACACCAUUACCCCAUGGAAGAGUGUAAAUUACCAUAGGUAUCAAUGAAAGCACUUACACUCUGUUUCCAAUGUUGUUUCGUAUAAAAGAGUAAGACCUGCAUAUUGUAGUUGUCUCCUAUCUAUCCAUGUCUUUAUGUCAUUCCGUUGCCUUAGACUCCCAACUCUUGCUCUGCCAAAAUCCAACUUUGAAAGUUUAAGAUUUGAAGCUCCCAAGCUGCCUGUAAAAACCAAAAAGCAAAACAACUAAUGCAUGUGAAAAUCUUUCAUAAUAUGUGUGGGACAGGGGGAUUACUAAAUAUUAUUUCAACACCUUGUGGAUAGAAAAGAGAAAUACAAUUUAUUAAUAACAAGAUAACAAAACAUCUUCUAAUCUAAAUCUAAACUCUACUAUAGUAUCACAUUCAUUUAAUUUUUCUUACUCAUCCAGAAAUUAUGCAACUGUCUAACUUAAAAAUAUUCUCCAAUGUUUGUCUGAAAGCACUGCAUUUCCCUGGCUUCAAUGCAAAUAGCUAUGAUCCAUUAUAGGCAAUGCAUUUUCCUUCAGUUGAAGCUUGGUUAGAAAGAAAGAAACACAGAGGCAACACAAACACACAAACAUGAAUCCAGAGAAAAACCUACGUGUCACUUAAACAUGAAGCCAUAGAAAAACCUGUGUCACUUACAUAGAAUUUACUUCAACUUUGUACUAGAAAUAAGAAUAUAUGUACCUAACAAUUCCUAAAAUUUUCAGUUUUUCUUUUUCUACUUUUAUUCUACCUAUCCUGAUAAUGAUGCAAAUCCAUCAUUUAUUCUGCAUCAUUCUCAAACAUAUUUCUUAUAUACCAGCUAAUACCACCUAACACUUGGCUCCAAAAAAGUACAAGUACUCUCAAAGCAUGUAGGCCCAUGCCUAAUGCAGUAUCUAAAUAAUCCACCACCUUCCAAUGAUUACCACAUCUCCCCACCAGUGAAGACAAUAAGCAGUGGCAUUCUUUACAUAAAUUAAACAUGGGAAACGGUGCAAGAAGAUGCUGGAAUGGUUAAUGUAGCUUGGUCGACUAUUUGAUAUAAUUAAUAGCUGUGGAAAGAAUUAAAUUGUCAAAAUAAAUUAGUUUCUGAAAUAGCAGACUCUGAAGGAAGCUGCAGUUAACAUUGAACCACCACAUAAUUCAUUUCAUGCUGAAUUGCAUUGAGCUAAGAUGAAAAUUACGAUGAUGAUAUUUGGGCAAUUUUCUAAGCUUAGGUGAUGAAUAUGGGUAGUGCAUUACAGGGUUUGCCAUAUAAGCUAAAAGUCGAUCAUGACAAAGGCAAGCCAAACAUGACCAAACAAUCAUAUUCAUAAACUGGAUUACUUUAUAAACUAAAGUAUCUUAAUUCCUCAGUCAAUUGCUAAAUGAUCCAACUCUACAUCAAAUUACAUAUGAAAACAUGCACUUUUCAUAGAACUAUUCAAGCAGAAUCCCUCCUCUUUUUUUAUCAAAAUUUGAGGUUUCCCAGCGAUUGUAUCAAAAAGGAAGGAGGGGAAAAAAUGCAAUUAGCAACCUAUGUUUCCAAAUUCCAACCAACUACCUAUAAUCAAAUUCAAAACAGAAAAUGCAGAAAUCGUUGAAACCGAUAAGCAUGUUGUAUUAAAAUGCAAGAUUAACAAAUUCAAUCAAA